CGGGGGGAGCAAGCGUUGUUCGGAUUUACUGGGCGUAAAGGGCGCGUAGGCGGCCACCGCAAGUCGGUUGUGAAAUCUCCGGGCUUAACCCGGAAAGGUCAAUCGAUACUGCGGGGCUAGAGUGCAGAAGGGGCAACUGGAAUUCUCGGUGUAGCGGUGAAAUGCGUAGAUAUCGAGAGGAACACUUGCGGCGAAGGCGGGUUGCUGGGCUGACACUGACGCUGAAGCGCGAAAGCUAGGGGAGCGAACGGGAUUAGAUACCCCGGUAGUCCUAGCCUUAAACGAUGAAUGCUUGGUGUCUGGGGUUUUAUAGUCCCCGGGUGCCGUCGCUAACGCUUUAAGCAUUCCGCCUGGGGAGUACGGUCGCAAGACUG
rnacentral:rRNA from 1 species